rnacentral:lncRNA from 1 species
CCCUUUUCCCCUCAGAACAGCCUCAAUUCGUCGGAACAUGGACUCUACAAGGUGUCGAAAGCUUUCCACAUGAAUGCUGCCCAAUGCUUCCCACAGUUUAAUCAAGUUGGCUGGAUGUCCUUUGGGUGCUGGAUCAUUCUUGAUACACACAGCAAACUGUUGAGCGUGAAAAACCCAGCAGUGUUGCAGUUCUUGACACAAACCGAUACGCCUGGCACCUACUACCAUAACCUGUUCAAAGGCACUUCAAUAUUUUGUCUUGCCCAUUCACCCUCUGAAUGGCACACAUACACAAUCCGUCUCAAUUGUCUUAAGGCUUAAAAAUCCUUUAACCUGUCUCCUCCCCAUUCAUCUACACUAAUUGAAGUGGAUUAAACAAGUGACAUCAAUAAGUUAUCAUAGUUUUCACCUGAAUUUAUCUGGUCAGUUUAUGUCAUGGAAAGAGUAGGUGUUCCUAAUGUUUUGUAAACUCAGUGUAUACCCAUGUUAUAGAUACACAGCACAUGAGUGGGCCUGACAAAGGUAUAGUCAGGUCAGAGUAGCCUGGUUUCCAUUUCUAAUGGAUAAUUAAGGCUGUAACGGUCAUGGAAUUUUGGAUGAUGAUUAUUGGUCAGCCAAAAUAACCGUGGCCAUCGUAAUAACCGUUAGAAUAGCAAAAUGACAAUAAAAACAAUAAUAGUGUAUAGCCCAUACAUAAACACAUAAACACACGCAUACACACACCCACUCAGGAGGAAAAAACACUAUGGAAUAGGAAGGAAGAAAAGGAGGAGGAAUAGAGAGUGAUGAUUGGAAGGAAGAAGAGGAGGAGGUAUAGAGAGAGUGAUGAUUGGAAGGAAGAAGAGGAGGAGGUAUAGAGAGAGUGAUGGAUUUGAAGGAAGAAGAGGGAGAGGUAUAGAGAGAGUGAUGAUUGGAGGGAAGGAGAGGGAGUGGUAUAGAGAGAGUGAUGGAUUUGAAGGAAGAAGAGGGAGAGGUAUAGAGAGAGUGAUGAUUGGAGGGAAGGAGAGGGAGAGGUAUAGAGAGAGUGAUGAUUGGAUGUGAGUAAGAGAAAGGAAGUAAAGGUAAAGGAACAAGAGAGGAAAAUAUAAAACUUCACAUCCUAUCAGUCAGCAUGCAGAGAGAGGGAGAGGGGGAGUAAGAGAGGGAGCGAGAGUGGAAAAUAGUAGCAUUACAUUUUGUGGUAAAAUCCCCAAAAUGUGUGUGUGUGAGUGCGUGCGUGCGUGGAUGUGUGUGUGCGUGUGUGUGAUCUGCAGUGGUAUCUAGGUCUUAGCUCAUACAGCUCUUUCUCAUCUUUCUCCCGCUCCAUUUUAAAUGAUUUAGACACAGACAGGCAGCUCCCCCCCUCUCUCUCGCUCUUUCUAGCUCUCUCUUUUUUCUCUCUCUCUCUUUCUCUCUCUCUCUCUUUCUCUCUCUUUUUUGCUCUCUCUCUCCCUCUCUCUCCCACUCUCUCUCUUUCUCUGUCUCUUUCAGUCUCUACCAUCUCAAUCUACCUCUUUCCUCUUCCUCUUUGUCUCUCUCCUCCCCUCUCUUCCCCUCUGUCUCUCCUCCUUCUUCCUGAUACUGCAUUGAGUAUGAACUGAGGAGGACAACACUCCUCUCAUUUCCUCUCCUCCUUCAUUUCUCAUGCUGCCUGUCCUCCCCUCCUCCUCACACCCGGCCUAUAAAGAGAACAGAAACACCCCUCUCUCCAGGUUGGUCUGCCAAUCCGGUAGGAUAACCCCAACUCCAGUAGACACACAC